AAUUAAAGCAGUGAUGUGCCUCUGGGGUAUGUAUGGAGUUCUUCAUUAGAAUUCCACAGGCUAAAUCAAGCAUACCUGCUUCUGAGAAAGAGAAGUGAAAACUUAGAACAGGCAGCUGUGGCUGAGCUUGUGCUUCUCUGAGGAUAAGAAGGCAAUGUACAUCUUGAACCACAGGAAUUCAGGGAAUUAAUUUUUUGUUGGUAUGUUUAACAAUGGAAAUCUUCAUAAAUGCAUAUCACAGGACUAGGUGUUAUACUGAUAGUGGUAUACUAAAAAAUUUUGUUGGUCCAAUGAAAUCUUGAGGCAGAAAGUUCUGCAAAAUAAUUACGAUGUGACACAAAUGUAAAGUAUUUUAAAAAUUAGUUCUGUCAGAUGAAUAUAUUAAUUAAGGUUUUCCUAUUGCUAUUCCAGGACAGCAGGAUUUUGUUUAUAUUCUUGGUAGUGUCUAAUUUUUGCCUCUUUCUUUCUUGUCCUGUUUUGAGUCAAAUUGGUCACCGUCAUUUUGUUUGCUUUUCGUAUGACAGUUCUUAUUAUGCCUCUGCUGCAAUUACUUUUAUUUCUAUUAUUUAAAAUAUAUAUUUUAGGGCACAUUGCAGAGUACAGUGAAAAUUUGCAGUGUGAACACUAUAUCGUUUUCAAUUAUCUAUAUAAUGUAAACUGUAUCCAGGCUUAUUUAUUAAUUUAUUCUUUAUUUUAGGCUUAUCUAUUCUUCGUUAGUCCUUAUGUGGUUCAUUUCUACCAGUGCACAGUAAGCAAACUGAAAAUCUAGAGAGGCACAUUGAUCAUUCUUAUUAUAUAUUUCAAUUUCAACAUGUGAAUACCAUUUCUUUUAUAUUUUCUGGACACUUCCUUGCAUUUACAUGCAAGCAUUUUGCCCAAUUCUCCAUCUUUGCUAGACCUUGUAACAUCUUCUGAUUUCUGUUAAAUGAGAUGUAUACCAGCCAGUUUUCAUUAGAGAAACCAAUUCCAUAAUAAUUUCCUGAUGAUAGCACUGGAUUAUGGCAUACAAGUAUUUUUGGAUUAUGUCUGCAUUUAUGUGGAACGUUUUGUGUCACUGGAAGAAUUCCACUCUCAGCUACAUCAUUACAGGAUUGUGAUUAAGCUCAAGGACUCAGUAUCUUUACUCUAGCUGAUGGCAUUUUGUUCUCUAUUUUACUAGGUGAGUUAGUUCUUUUUGUUAUUUGCAGAAAUAAACAUGACGAAUAGAACAAAUAAUUAUUUUGGAAUGGCAAAAGGAAAUUCUUCUAACUUAUUACCUGUCUUCACAAGGAUAAAAUGUCAUGUUUGUUUUUAUCUUUCCCACUGAGUAUGGGCAUGUUUAACAAGCUAAACUCAUAACUUCAGUUACUGUUGCCCAAGGAAUAAAAUUUCAAAUGCCAAUCAUGUAACU
ensembl:lncRNA